rnacentral:rRNA from 1 species
AUUGAACGCUGGCGGCAGGCCUAACACAUGCAAGUCGAGCGGAGCGGCGGACGGGUGCGUAAUGCUUAGGAAUCUGCCUGGUAGUGGGGGAUGACGUUCGGAAACGGGCGCUAAUACCGCUUCCUAUCAGAUGAGCCUAGGCCGGAUUGGCUAGUGGGUGGGGUAAAGGCCUACCAAGGCGAAGAUCCGUAACUGGUCUGAGAGGAGGAUCAGCCACACUGGAACUGAGACACGGCCCAGACUCCUACGGGAGGCAGCAGUGGGGAAUAUUGGGCAAUGGGCGAAAGCCUGACGCAGCCAUGCCGCGUGUGUGAAGAAGGUCUUCGGGUUGUAAAGCACUUUAAGUAGGGAGGCGUUACCAACAGAAGAAGCACCGGCUAACUCCGUGCCAGCAGCCGCGGUAAUAC